UAGACACUUGUUUUGUAAAGGCGCCUUCUGCAAAUGAGUGUUUGUAUUAGAAUUGGGGUGUAUUAAUUAUUGAUUUAUAAAUAUUAAAAUACCAAUAUUUAGUGAAUCUAUUGUGUUGUGUAUUGUGCUGCAAGAUCCAACAAUGGGCAAUAUCCACACCGUCGGCCCUAACGAGGCACUGAUAGUUUCAGGUGGCUGUUGUGGGUCCACACAGAAGCGGACCAUCGUCGGCGGGUGGGCAUGGGCCUGGUGGCUCGUGACUGACGUCCAGAGGAUUUCCCUCGAGGUUAUGACCCUUAACCCGAUGUGCGAGAUGGUGGAGACAGCACAAGGCGUGCCGCUCACGGUGACUGGAGUCGCGCAGUGCAAGAUCAUGAAUGAAGACGAGCUCCUCACCACCGCCUGCGAGCAGUUCCUUGGCAAAAACGUGAAGGAGAUCAAGAUGACCAUCCUGCAAACGCUGGAGGGGCAUUUGCGAGCUAUUCUGGGAACGCUUACAGUCGAAGAGGUGUACAAGGACCGCGAUCAGUUCGCGGGUCUGGUGCGCGAGGUGGCGGCGCCCGACGUCGGUCGGAUGGGCAUCGAGAUCCUGUCGUUCACGAUCAAGGACGUGUACGAUGACGUGCAGUACCUGGCCAGCUUGGGGAAGGCGCAGACGGCGGUCGUGAAGCGCGACGCCGACGUGGGAGUCGCACAGGCCAACCGGGACGCUGGGAUACGAGAAGCGGAGUGCGAGAAGAGUGCGAUGGACGUGAAGUACUCCAUGGACACCAGGAUCGAGGACAACACCAGGCUGUUCAAGCUGCAGAAGGCGCAGUUCGACCAGGAAGUCAAUACAGCUAAAGCUGAGGCGGCGUUAGCUUACGAAUUGCAGGCCGCUAAGAUUAAGCAGAAGAUCCGAAACGAGGAGAUCCAGAUCGAGGUGGUGGAACGACGCAAGCAGAUUGAGGUAGAGCAACAAGAGAUCUUGCGUCGCGAAGAGGAGCUGGUUUCCACCGUUCGCCUGCCGGCCGAAGCGGAGGCCUACCGUCUCCAGGCCAUUGCUGAGGGCAAACGCACCCAAACGGUAGAAGCCGCGAAGGCCGACGCCGAGCGCAUCAAAGUCCUGGGUUUGGCUGAAGCCACGGCCAUUGGUGACGUAGGCAAGGCUGACGCCGAACGCAUGCUGGCCAAGGCCAAGGUCUACAAGCAGUACGGAGACGCUGCUAUCAUGGCGCUGGUGCUUGAAGCUCUGCCUAAGAUCGCGGCCGAAGUAUCGGCCCCUCUAGCCCGUACAGACGAGAUAGUCCUGGUAGGCGACUCGGGCGCCACGGGCGAGGUCGCGCGGCUGGCGGGAGGCAUCCCGCCCGCGCUCAAGACGCUCACCGGCCUCGACCUCAUGCAGGUGCUGAAGCGGCUCCACCCCUCCGGUGAGAAAGACAAAUAAAAGAGUCUCCUCUGGCAGCAACCACGAGCAAGAAGAAGGAAGUUACAGCUUGCUAAUCACCUGUCCCCCUCCCACGUAAGCGCUUUGUGCCAUAUACCUGUCUCGCUUCUCCAGAAUAUCCCAGAACGGUGUAGUUAAUAUGAACAAUGUUUUAGUCGAGAUCCAAAUGGAUGACUUUUUUAUUUUGUGGCAUCUCUGUUUUUAUGAAUUUUUUAUUUCUAAUUUUGAUAUACUAUGUUUUAGCGCCUAUAAACUGAUUAUUAUGAAGUGUACAUCAAGUAUAAAGUAUCGAAGCACAACAAAAAUGUCGCAUUUACUUUUGAGAUUAUGUGUCACGACUUGGCAAUUCGCAUUUGAAACAGCCGAUUUAUUCGAAUUCGAAUCGUAUCGAUUGUCACUUUAUCUAGACUCAUACAGCUAGAUAAAUCCAAAAUUACUAAUAGUGCUGCAGCUAACACUUUAUUAGCAGCUCAUCUAACAUUUUCUCUCAAGUCCCCCAUAUUAAAUGUAGUUUCCUUAUUUUUCUUUUGCUUUUUUCUUUCUUUACUAAAUGCACAGCAAUAUUCAGUUUUAGUAUCGUUAAGAACAAAAGCGUCGACUCAAAUUACUUUUACGUAAACUUAAAUAAAUACAUAAUAUAUUUCAGUACAAACUAGCUUUAUAGUUUGCUGCAUUUCAUUGCAUUGCUAGGAUUCACUAUUAAUUUACAAAGUAAUUAAUAUAAACGUGAUAAUAAAUGUAAUGUAUUAAUAUAAUACGUAUUUUUAAUUAUUUAUGACAUGUGUAAUGUGUAUUUAGAGAAAUAGUUAAAUAGUUUUUGAAAGUUCAAUAAAUAGUAGAUUACUUUUCAUUCUUCGUUAUAUUAGUAACUUGGAAGUCUGUAAUCAACUCAAUAUUCUUUAGUUAAUAUAUAAAUAUAUACUUAAAAAUCCUUUUUGUAAUGAAAAUGUAAUUGACUAUUUGAAGGUACUUUAUCUAUUCUCUAUACAAGCGUAGGGUGUUGAUAUUUUUCAGUGGAUAUAUUAAAGUACAACUGUGCUAGCGUAAUUUAGAUUUUGUACAACUGUUAGAUCUAUCCUAGACAAAUUCGAUGUGUUCUCUGUCAAGGCACUGCCUUUUUGAUGUAGAUUGUUUGUGGGUUAGUUUUUCGUGUGUCGUACAAUCCAGUUGUGAAAUAUCGUAACCGUACAUUUAUUCAAACUACACAAUUAUUCAAUUCAAUUGUAAGUGAUCUACUAGUACAGUCGCUAACACAUUCAACUAUCUCAAAAAGUAACCUCCA